GUUCGCCCCAAUCGCGCCGGAUGACGUCAACAUUUGUAUUAUAAUAAUAAUAUAAACACACUCGCGUGUUUUCGGGACGCGGAGCGCACUGUCCCCCUCGCCUCUUUGACAUUUUUUUUUUCCCUCUUUCCCGUUUCGAGUGUCGGUAAAUAUUUUUACACCGUCACGCCUGGGUUUUGAAUUCGAAUCGCUGUACUUUUCGGCCGGACAAAAUACCACGUAUUCGACGUGUUGCCGGUACAGGAGCCGGAGCGGCGCGAGAGCUAGAAAGUAUAUUUUUUUUUUUUUAUUACACUCCGAGUAAAACGAACACAUUUAGAACCCGUCCGCCCUAUACACGGAUACGUUCCAUUAAUAACUUUAAUUUUCUACAGCAAAACCCUUACGCGGCGUCGCAGACUAUACGCGAAGGCUACAAUAUCGUAUUCGUAAUUGUACGCGUAUAACAAUCGAAUAGAAUACACAAAAUCUCUAAACGCUAGUUCAGAAGGAACCCAUAGCUGUUAAUGAUCUAUCAAAAACAACAAUCUGAACGUGCGAGUUGCAUUACCUUGUCACCUUGAAACCUGUAUAGCAACCGCUGUAGUAAAUUGUACAAUACUAUUAUUGAGGAGUGUUCAAAUUCUUACGUACAAAAACGCAUACAUUUGAAAAUUGAUCCUUUUUUCUUUUUUUUUUUCGAUCAGCGUAAACGCGUUACAUACAGAACGACACAGUUUUCUCGAAUCCGAUAUAUGUAUCUCCCUCGUCGUUAAUAUCCUAAAUUCGUCACCGCAUCCACGUAUAAUGCGUGCGUACACAGGAAACCACUCGUCCGCACACAACAGGUAUACAGGGUGAUUGUUUUCACCGGCCAACGUUUCGGAUUUCGGCAAGUCUUGAACAAUUCCCGAGAUUGAGCGCGUUCGGUCGUGCAGAGGGUGCCGUUUAAAGUGUUCGAAAAUGGCGCGAAAAAAGACGUACAAUACAAUAAAAUAGUCUACAUUUUCCGGGGAAUUCGUGGGGGAAAAAAAAAACCCCCGGCAUAAUGUACUCGAAAUCUUCGUAUAUGUGCAGUGAUCGUGCACACAUACAAUACGGUUGUGGUCCAUGGCGAUAAACGAAUCACCCUGUAUAUGAUAUAUGGUAUAUAUACGUACAUUACCAUCGCUCGCAGUGGUGGGUACAUACAACAAAAUGUUAUACUACGUACAAUGUGUGUUUGGAACGAAUUUUACAGCCCGUAAUAAAGUACGAUUUGUCGGACCCGGCAUUGUGCGGCGGGCAACACGCGCGCAUUAUUUUGGUCUCCGACCGACCGACCCGGCCAGGUGAACGUGUACAAAAUAUAACAAUAAUAUUAAUAAUAAUACGUGUGCCUAUAUAAUGUCUGUAAUAUAUGACUACG